GACCGUUAAAACGGGUGAUUUGGUCAGAGAGGUUAUCCGAUCAGGUCCUUAUCGGUUUGGGCAUAAUGCCAAAAUCUGACUAGGUUGAGCCUUUGGCGAGACCGAACGAAAAAUGCUCUUU
rnacentral:sRNA from 22 species